AUGAACGCUAGCUACAGGCUUAACACAUGCAAGUCGAGGGGCAGCGCAGUGUAGCAAUACUGAGAUGGCGACCGGCGCACGGGUGCGUAACGCGUAUCCAACCUUCCCGUUACUCUCGGAUAGCCUUCCGAAAGGGGAGAUUUAAUACAAGAUGGUAUUCAAAUUCCGCAUGUUAUUUGAAUUAAAGAUUCAUCGGUAACGGAUGGGGAUGCGUGACAUUAGGUAGAUGGCGGGGUAACGGCCCACCAUGCCCACGAUGUCUAGGGGUUCUGAGAGGAAGGUCCCCCACACUGGAACUGAGACACGGUCCAGACUCCUACGGGAGGCAGCAGUGAGGAAUAUUGGACAAUGGAUGGAAAUCUGAUCCAGCCAUGCCGCGUGAAGGAAUACGGUCCUAUGGAUUUUAAACUUCUUUUGUAUGGGAGCAAUAAGGUGUACGCGUACAUCGAUGAGAGUACCAUACGAAUAAGCAUCGGCUAACUCCGUG
rnacentral:rRNA from 1 species